UGGAUGUAUGUGGUACUUGGAUAAAAUGGUUGAUGUUUGGCAAUAGAAAUGUGGAUAGGAUCAAUGGAACUUUGGAUGGAAAUGCAAUUUUGCCUUUGGUUGUAAAUGCACUUAGGGUUGUAAUGAGAGUAGUGGUUUAAAAUUUGUGUAUUAAAUUGAAUGGAAAUUUAAUGUAUUUGGUUUAAAUCAUUGUAAUUGGAAUGAAGAUGAAUGUAAUUUGUUUGAAUUUGGUUCUUGUAGAA
rnacentral:lncRNA from 1 species